rnacentral:tRNA from 1 species
GCCCGGGUGGCGUAACUGGUAGACGCGGGGGGCUUAAACCCCCCUGGUGGGACCACCACCGUGCGGGUUCGAAUCCCGCCCCGGGCA